rnacentral:rRNA from 1 species
UACGUAGGGGGCAAGCGUUGUCCGGAUUUAUUGGGCGUAAAGAGCUCGUAGGCGGUUUGGUAAGUCUGGUGUGAAAUCUCCACGCUCAACGUGGAGGGGCCACCCGAUACUGCCAUGACUGGAGUCCGGUAGAGGAGUGUGGAAUUCCCGGUGUAGCGGUGAAAUGCGCAGAGAUCGGGAGGAACACCCGUAGCGAAGGCGGCACUCUGGGCCGGUACUGACGCUGAGGAGCGAAAGCGUGGGGAGCGAACAGG